AGACAAGUGAAACUCAGCAUUGAUAAACGUAGACCACCAUAAUGGUUAUCAGAUAAGACUGCUUACCAAAGACGGAGCCAGCGUGUGUGGGAGCGAUGUCCUGGGGGUUGACCAGGAUCCCACUGUUGUGGAAGCCACAGCACAUGACAGCUAUAGCCAUCAGUACCAGGGCCGAGCCAUAAGUACUGGUGUAGGACAGGAAUACGAGUGCUGAGGCUGUACCACACAGGGCAAUGGACUGAAAAUAAAGCAGGUCAUGAGGGACUCCAUCAAGUUUUGUGGAAGCUUGUUUCGUACACAAUAUGCCAGUAGUCUUGUUAGCAAUAUUUAGGAUCUACUGGUACAUGUAACUCCAAGAAAUUUCAACCUUUCUUGAACAUUCCUUUUAUUUCCCAAAAUUAUUUUUUUCGAAACACAACAAAUAAAUUUAAAGAAAAAUUC
rnacentral:sRNA from 1 species